ensembl:lncRNA
CAGGACUCAGCAGUCCACCUCCACCUCAAGGAGAAGGGGCACUCCUUUGAUGACCACAAGGUGCGCAUUCUAGCCAGAGAGGACAGAUGGUCUGAGAGAGGGGUAAAAGAAGCCAUUCAUGUCAAACUAGAAAGGCCAUCUUUGAACAGAGGAGGGGGCCUGAGACACCACUUGUCUCCCACUUACAAUGCCAUUCUUAGAGCCCUCCCAAGGAGGUGCAGCCAUCUGUCCCACCUGCAGUCAGGUGACCCCCAACCACCCUCCUAGAGGGCUGGGAGGGGUAACGACCGCCCAUCAAAGGCUAACAACUCCUAACGAGUCUAUUGGUUUCGGGUCUUUGUCCACUUGUUUUUGCCACCACCCUCCUGGUGGAUAAAUAUCUGGUACUCCCCACCAGGCUUUCAGAACUGAAGAAGCCUCUUGGAUGAGAGGUGAAACGUUUUCGACUCACACGAGGUCGGGAUUAUUUCUGGUGAGAAUUUCCAAAGAAGUUUCUUAGAGUGGACAUAUUGCCGUCAUGAAAUUGAAAAACUGCUUGGAGAUGACCAUUUCUCAUGUCCUGCCUGUGGAGAUGAUAUGGUUGCACUGAGCCUUGAUGGCAACAGAAAACUGUAUGGCUUCUGUAUGGUAAAGGGACUGAUGAAUGUCCAUACUUUCAUGGGACCUUCAUCGCCAAAGACACAGAUGUAGAGGAAUUUGUGAAAACAGUUCAAGAGAAAAUAAAAUCUGGAUCUGCACGCCCAUCCUAUGGCAAGUCAAACUUCAAAGCAGCCAGGGAGGUUGCUAGAAAGUCAGAGCCCAGACUGAAUGAAGAGGGCAUGAUGGCAUCAGUCUGCAGACACUGCAUUCUAUUUUUGUGGCCUUCACAUGUUUAGCAGGGAAAUCUUUGCCUACCCUCUCUACCUACAGCAAGCUCUUGGGAAAGAACACAAGGUUGAGUUUGUCUGCACUGACGUCAUGUGUAAAUACUAUCCAUAUGUACAGAGGGUAGUGGAGACCUUUCCACAGCUGCAGUAUGUCCUGCAAAUGUGCCCGUUUUUGUCAGUGACGCAUGCAAAAGGUCACUCAACAAGAUGUGAGG